GGUGAACGCUGGCGGCGUGGAUAAGGCAUGCAAGUCGAGCGCCCCGCAAGGGGAGUGGCAGACGGGUGAGUAACACGUGGGAACGUACCCUUUGGUUCGGAAUAACUUGGGGAAACUCAAGCUAAUACCGGAUAAGCCCUUAUGGGGAAAGGUUUACUGCCGAAGGAUCGGCCCGCGUCUGAUUAGCUAGUUGGUGAGGUAAUGGCUCACCAAGGCGACGAUCAGUAGCUGGUCUGAGAGGAUGAUCAGCCACACUGGGACUGAGACACGGCCCUGGCUCCUACGGGAGGCAGCAUUGGGGAAUCUUGGACAAUGGGGGCAACGCUGAUCCAGCCAUGGCGCGUGAGUGAUUAAGUCCUUAGGGUUGUAAAGCUCUUUUACCCGGGACGAUAAUGACUGUACCGGCAGAAUAAGCCACGGCUAAUGUCGUGCCAGCCGCCGCAGUAA
rnacentral:rRNA from 1 species